AGCGAACGCUGGCGGCAGGCCUAACACAUGCAAGUCGAACGAACUCUUCGGAGUUAGUGGCGGACGGGUGAGUAACACGUGGGAACGUGCCUUUAGGUUCGGAAUAACUCAGGGAAACUUGUGCUAAUACCGAGUGUGCCCUUCGGGGGAAAGAUUUAUCGCCUUUAGAGCGGCCCGCGUCUGAUUAGCUAGUUGGUGGGGUAAAGGCCUACCAAGGCGACGAUCUGUAGCGGGUCUGAGAGGAUGAUCCGCCACACUGGGACUGAGACACGGCCCAGACUCCUACGGGAGGCAGCAGUGGGGAAUUUUGGACAAUGGGCGCAAGCCUGAUCCAGCCAUGCCGCGUGCGGGACGAAGGCCU
rnacentral:rRNA from 1 species